rnacentral:rRNA from 1 species
AGAGUUUGAUCCUGGCUCAGGAUGAACGUUGGCGGCGUGCCUAACACAUGCAAGUCGAACGGCAAUAGCAAUAUUGGAGUGGCGCACGGGUGAGUAACACGUAGCUCAUCUUCCUCAAAGCGCGGGAUAACGUGUCGAAAGACAGGCUAAUACCGCAUAAGCUCGCGACCUGUAGAGGGUUGCGAGAAAAGGCGCAAGCCACUCUGAGAUGAGGCUGCGACCCAUCAGCUAGUUGGUGAGGUAAAAGCUAACCAAGGCAACGACGGGUAGGGGACCUGAGAGGGUGACCCCCCACACUGGGACUGAGACACGGCCCAGACUCCUACGGGAGGCAGCAGUGAGGAAUAUUGCACAAUGGGCGCAAGCCUGAUGCAGCGACGCCGCGUGGGUGAAGAAGGUUUUCGGAUCGUAAAACCCUUUUCUGUGUGACGAGCAAGGACGGUAGCACAGAAAUAUGUUCCGU